UCUCCGUAGGUGAACCUGCGGAAGGAUCAUUAUUGUAUAACCGAGGUGCGAGGGCCGUCGCUGACCCGAAAGGUCGUGCACGCCCGAGUGCCCUCACACACAUCCAUCUCACCCCUAUGUGCACCACCGCGUGGGUCCCCCUUUGGCUUGUUCGGAGGGGGGCUUACGUUUUCACACAAACUUUGUAUGCAGUGUAGAAUGUAUUUUUUGUUUUUGCGAUCACGCAAUCAAUACAACUUUCAACAACGGAUCUCUUGGCUCUC
rnacentral:misc_RNA from 1 species